rnacentral:rRNA from 1 species
GACGAACGCUGGCGGCGUGCUUAACACAUGCAAGUCGAACGAAGAGCGAUGGAAGCUUGCUUCUAUCAAUCUUAGUGGCGAACGUGUGAGUAACGCGUAAUCAACCUGCCCUUCAGAGGGGGACAACAGUUGGAAACGACUGCUAAUACCGCAUACGAUCUAACCUCGGCAUCGAGGAUAGAUGAAAGGUGGCCUCUACAUGUAAGCUAUCACUGAAGGAGGGGAUUGCGUCUGAUUAGCUAGUUGGAGGGGUAACGGCCCACCAAGGCGAUGAUCAGUAGCCGGUCUGAGAGGAUGAACGGCCACAUUGGGACUGAGACACGGCCCAGACUCCUACGGGAGGCAGCAGUGGGGAAUCUUCCGCAAUGGACGAAAGUCUGACGGAGCAACGCCGCGUGAGUGAUGACGGCCUUCGGGUUGUAAAGCUCUGUUAAUCGGGACGAAAGGCCUUCUUGCGAAUAGUGAGAAGGAUUGACGGUACCGGAAUAGAAAGCCACGGCUAACUACGUG